CCUCUCUUUUUCCCAUGCCCAAAGGUUGGGCAUCACACCUUUCUACAUGCCAAGAGUUGAGGAGUUGUUCAUCUACAGCAAGAAACGAAGAGAAAAUGCUGUAGAUCAAAAAGUUAAUUCUGCAGUCUAGAUCAAAGAGUUAAUCAAGAUUCUAAAGAGCUGAGAUCCUAUUUGGAGAAGAAAGAUCUACUAUGAGAAGAUCGAUUCAAGAUUGAUCCUAGUGGAUAUCCAUAG
rnacentral:lncRNA from 1 species